UACAGAGGUGGCAAGCGUUGUUCGGAUUUACUGGGCGUAAAGGGUGCGUAGGCGGUCUUGCGUGUCGGGUGUGAAAGUUCACUGCUCAACGGUGGAAUUGCACUCGAAACUGCAAGACUAGAGUACAGGAGAGGAGAGCGGAAUUCUUGGUGUAGCAGUGAAAUGCGUAGAUAUCAAGAGGAACACCGGAGGCGAAGGCGGCUCUCUGGAAUGAUACUGACGCUGAGGCACGAAAGCUGGGGGAGCAAACAGG
rnacentral:rRNA from 1 species